GAUGAACGCUAGCGGCAGGCUUAAUACAUGCAAGUCGAGGGGCAGCAUGAUUGUAGCAAUACAAUUGAUGGCGACCGACAAACGGGUGCGGAACACGUACACAACCUUCCAACAAGUGGGGGAUAGCCCAGAGAAAUUUGGAUUAAUACCCCGUAACAUAGCGAUGUGGCAUCACAUUGCUAUUAUAGAUUUUUCGCUUGUUGAUGGGUGUGCGGCUGAUUAGAUAGUUGGCGGGGUAACGGCCCACCAAGUCUACGAUCAGUAGCUGAUGUGAGAGCAUGAUCAGCCACACGGGCACUGAGACACGGGCCCGACUCCUACGGGAGGCAGCAGUAAGGAAUAUUGGACAAUGGACGCAAGUCUGAUCCAGCCAUGCCGCGUGAAGGAUUAAGGUCCUCUGGAUUGUAAACUUCUUUUAUAAGGGACGAAAAAAGGCUUUUCUAAGUCGUCUGACGGUACCUUAUGAAUAAGCACCGGCUAACUCCGUGCCAGCAGCCGCUGUAAGAC
rnacentral:rRNA from 1 species